GUGCUCGUUUCUGCAGCACAUCCACUAAAAUUGCAAUGCCACAGAGAAGAUCAGCAAGGCCCCUGC
ensembl:snRNA U6 U6 spliceosomal RNA